rnacentral:misc_RNA from 1 species
AACGCACAUUGCGCCCGCCAGUAUUCUGGCGGGCAUGCCUGUUCGAGCGUCAUUUCAACCCUCAAGCCCCCUCCCUCCCCCCUCCCAGGGGGAGGACGCUUGGUGUUGGGGGCCGGCGACCUCGCUGCUACGGCGGCGUGCGCCGCCCCCGAAACGAAUUGGCGGGCUCGUCGCGGCCUCCUCUGCGUAGUAGUGUCACAACCUCGCAGCAGGAGCGCGGCGCGCCCACUGCCGUAAAAAGACGCCCCCGGCUGUUUCUAGAGUUGACCUCGAAUCAGGCAGGAAUACCCGCUGAACUUAA